AUCCCUUCGGGGACAUCCAAUAAAAUUGAAACGACACAGAAAAGAUUAGCAUAGCCCUUGUGUAAGGGUGACACGGACAAAUCAAGAAAUGGUUGAAAUUAAA